UCCACUGUGCAAUUCCACGAUUCACCGGUACACGAUAAGUCGAUACAUGGUUCGCGUUCACUAUUUCGCGGGACCCAUUUUAAGUUUGAUAUUCUAAACACUUAAUGUUAUGCGCAAACUGCGCAUUACUAAAAUGUUUGUACUUUGUAACAACACUAGAAUUACUUAGCUGUUCUGUUUGCCAUUGGAAAUUUUGAAUUAGCAUUAGGAGCCUACUAAUGCGUUACUACCGGUAUUUAAUAUAAAUUUUUCUUUAAUGUGGCGUGAGCACGAACGGCUUGUCAUACAUUGGAAAUUCUACUAGUAGGCCUACAACUUCUAAUGGAAUUAAUUAUGUAACUGAUGAAAUCUCUUUUGCCAGUGAGGUUCCAACCACAUCAGCUAACUAUUUAUGUAGUGAAUUCCGUGGGUCUCACAUGAAAACAAUUUGUAGAUGACCUAUUAAAAAAUAUAUAUUUAAUCAAAAGGAGAUAAGAAGAACAUGCCACCGUUUGUAUUUGGAACACAUAAAACAUAACUUGGUAGCCAAUAACGUCCGGCGUGGCGGAAGAAUAGACCACCAGAAUGUAAGUAACUAAUUGCACUGUAUAACAAGAGAUGAACAGGUAGAACCACAACAUUCUAUACCAUUCAAAACAAAACUUAAGGCAAUCUGGACGCUAUAGCUAACGUUAGAUCAGCUCAAGGUCUCCUUUCAGAAAUGUAUAAUAAGUAAAAGGGCUAAAUAGAUGGCAGAAAAGUCACAACUCUCCAACACCAAGAUUUGCUCAAAAUGGCAAAGCUGAGCAAUCAAGUCCA